GGUAGUUAUGGCGAGAAGGUCACACCCGUUCCCAUCCCGAACACGGUAGUUAAGCUUCUCUGCGCCAAUGGUAGUUGGGGGCUUCCCCC
rnacentral:rRNA from 1 species